rnacentral:rRNA from 1 species
GUGGGGAAUAUUGCGCAAUGGGGGCAACCCUGACGCAGCAACGCCGCGUGAUUGAAGAAGGCCUUCGGGUUGUAAAGAUCUUUAAUCAGGGACGAAAUUUGACGGUACCUGAAGAAUAAGCUCCGGCUAACUACGUGCCAGCAGCCGCGGUAAUACGUAGGGAGCAAGCGUUAUCCGGAUUUACUGGGUGUAAAGGGCGAGUAGGCGGGCUGGUAAGUUGGAAGUGAAAUCUAGGGGCUUAACCCCUAAACUGCUUUCAAAACUGCUGGUCUUGAGUGAUGGAGAGGCAGGCGGAAUUCCCAGUGUAGCGGUGAAAUGCGUAGAUAUUGGGAGGAACACCAGUGGCGAAGGCGGCCUGCUGGACAUUAACUGACGCUGAGGAGCGAAAGCGUGGGGAGCAAACAGGAUUAGAAACCCUUGUAGUCC